AUGAACGCUAGCGGCAGGCUUAACACAUGCAAGUCGAGGGGCAGCACGAGGUAGCAAUACUUUGGUGGCGACCGGCGCACGGGUGCGUAACGCGUAUGCAACCUACCUUUAACAGGGGCAUAACACUGAGAAAUUGGUACUAAUUCCCCAUAACAUUCGAGAAGGCAUCUUCUUGGGUUAAAAACUCCGGUGGUUAAAGAUGGGCAUGCGUUGUAUUAGCUAGUUGGUGAGGUAACGGCUCACCAAGGCAACGAUACAUAGGGGGACUGAGAGGUUAACCCCCCACAUUGGUACUGAGACACGGACCAAACUCCUACGGGAGGCAGCAGUGAGGAAUAUUGGUCAAUGGACGCAAGUCUGAACCAGCCAUGCCGCGUGCAGGAAGACGGCUCUAUGAGUUGUAAACUGCUUUUGUACUAGGGUAAACGCUCUUACGUGUAGGAGCCUGAAAGUAUAGUACGAAUAAGGAUCGGCUAACUCCGUGCCAGCAGCCGCGGUAAUACGGAGGAUCCAAGCGUUAUCCGGAUUUAUUGGGUUUAAAGGGUGCGUAGGCGGUUUGAUAAGUUAGAGGUGAAAUACCGGGGCUCAACUCCGGAACUGCCUCUAAUACUGUUGAACUAGAGAGUAGUUGCGGUAGGCGGAAUGUAUGGUGUAGCGGUGAAAUGCUUAGAGAUCAUACAGAACACCGAUUGCGAAGGCAGCUUACCAAACUAUAUCUGACGUUGAGGCACGAAAGCGUGGGGAGCAAACAGGAUUAGAUACCCUGGUAGUCCACGCAGUAAACGAUGAAUGCUGGUUGUUCGGGCCGACUGAGGCCUGAGUAACGUAGUGAAAACGUUAAGCAUUCCACCUGGGGAGUACGCCGGCAACGGUGAAACUCAAAGGAAUUGACGGGGGCCCGCACAAGCGGAGGAACAUGUGGUUUAAUUCGAUGAUACGCGAGGAACCUUACCCGGGCUCAAACGGGAGCGGACGUGCGGAGAAAUCCGCAUUUCUUCGGACCGCUUCCGAGGUGCUGCAUGGUUGUCGUCAGCUCGUGCCGUGAGGUGUCGGGUUAAGUCCCAUAACGAGCGCAACCCCUACCGUUAGUUGCCAUCAGGUCAAGCUGGGCACUCUGGCGGGACUGCCGGUGUAAGCCGAGAGGAAGGUGGGGAUGACGUCAAAUCAGCACGGCCCUUACGUCCGGGGCUACACACGUGUUACAAUGGUAGGUACAGAGGGCCGCUACCCCGUGAGGGGAUGCCAAUCUCGAAAGCCUAUCUCAGUUCGGAUCGGAGGCUGAAACCCGCCUCCGUGAAGUUGGAUUCGCUAGUAAUCGCGCAUCAGCCAUGGCGCGGUGAAUACGUUCCCGGGCCUUGUACACACCGCCCGUCAAGCCAUGGAAGCUGGGGGUGCCUGAAGUUCGUGACCGCAAGGAGCGACCUAGGGCAAAACCGGUGACUGGGGCU
rnacentral:rRNA from 1 species